rnacentral:rRNA from 1 species
CCUACGGGUGGCAGCAGUGGGGAAUAUUGCACAAUGGGGGAAACCCUGAUGCAGCGACGCCGCGUGAGUGAAGAAGGAUUUCGGGAUGUAAAGCUCUAUCAGCAGGGAGGAAAAUGACGGUACCUGAUCAAGAAGCCCCGGAUAACUACGUGCCAGCAGCCGCGGUAAUACGCAGGGGGCGAGCGUGAUCCGGAUUUACUGGGUGUAACGGGAGCGUAGACGGCAGCGCAAGUCUGAAGUGAAAUGCCCGGGCUUAACCCCGGAACUGCUUUUGAUACUGGCCAGCUAGAGUGCAGUAGAGGUAAGUGGAAUUCCUAGUGUAGCGGUGAAAUGCGUAGAGAUGAGGAGGAACACCAGUGGCGAAGGCGGCUUACUGGACUGUAACUGACGUUGAGGCUCGAAAGCGUGGGGAGCAAACAGGAUUAGAUACCCUAGUAGUC